GACUGGGGGGGUCCCUGGGGGAACACCACCACCAGCCUGUCCACAGGGUGUUGCAGAGCCAGACCAGGCAUACAUCUAAGGAAGACGAGAGCUCGUGCUCUCUGGAAGCUUGCCUGCCGGUAGGGAAGAAACAAGGACCAGCACACGAUCACCACAUAGGCCAGCCUCUUGGGGCGCAGUGACAAGUGUGGCUGGCAGAGUAAGGCUGGGGGAGGGAGUGAGGGACGGCCUCAAGUGAGGAGGGGCGGCGCGUGGAACUCGGGGGGAGGCGGAGGAGGUGAGGUGAGUCCAGACCACCAGGCCAGGGCCGUACCCGCACCGUGGAGUGGAAUGUGGAAGGUUUUCAGCAGGAUUCGAUUUGCUCUUUGACAGAGCCCCUGCAGCGGCUCCCCUCCUGGCUGCGGACAAAACCUCAGGCUGUGAGCCUCCACCCUGUCCUAACCACUGAAACUUCUCUUUGGUCACAGGUUGCAUAUUCAUCGAAGAGAACUUUUCUUUGAAAUGUCCCAAACAUAAGAGGCUGCCGUUGUAAUCCACCCCAACGGCCGGAGGAGCCGCCGAAGCCCGCCUGCCCGCCCGCCGCCGACGGAGAGGAGCCGCCUGCGCAGCCCCCGGGCCUUUGAGCUGCUCCCCUCGCGGGUCCAGAGCCGAUCCUUGAUCCGGGUCCCGGAUCGUGGAUCCGGCCGCUUAGGGCUCAGACUUGCGGCCCGGGUAGGGAGGAAAACCCGUUCCGGAGCUGCCUGCUCCCGGAACCGGACGUCACAGGGCCUUCUUGCCCACCCCAGGGGCCAGGCUUGCAGAGGUGGAGCCCGCCGAGCGGCCAGACUCCCCGGGACGCUCAGCCUCUGGCGGGGGUGGGAAACGGCUUUGGCCUGGGGACGGUUUUCCCCUCCGGAAUCUCAAGACGACGUGGCACACAUUCCACGUGGGUGCUGCCGCCACCCCUGUCGGUCGUGGCGUGCAGCUGGGAGCCCUGGGCUUGGGGGUGGGGGUCGAAACAGCCCUGGAAGAGGCGGAGGGCAGCUCCUAGCUCCGUGGACGAGGCGGGGAGAAAGAAAGCCUUUCUGGGAGCGGGCUAGACCGGCGCGGGAGGGGCCGGAGCCUUUGGAACAAACCGUGCGGAACGCGUCCGGGGCCCUUCCCGCACAGCUCUCGUGCGGUUCGGGCAAAGCCGGGGUAGACCUGGGCUAUGCUCAGUUAGGGGUUGUGGGCUCCGCGAAUAUGGGCGGGACUGGGACACCCUUUGGCCUCUCUGUUCGUCCUCUUUCCAGUCCUCCACCCACCUCUGGAGCCCAGUCUGGGAGCACAGAACGCAAGAAGCGGCCAGAACGCACCUCCGGCGGACGCGCGACAUUUGUGCACCACCAGGGACCGCCGCGCCCACUCGGCACGGGAGCAGGGACAGCGCUAGAUUCGUGUACAAAACCUGUGUACCCCUCUAUAUAUAUGUUACAUAGAAUGUAUAUAUGUUGGGAACAUGCUCGCUUCUCCCGUGUGUCGCUGCCGUGCGUCGUGCGCCCGCAACAGAGCCCCAACCGGGCCUUUGCCGGGUAGGGGGCUACCGCGAUGCCCCUUGCCCACACAGCCACCACCUGCCCGGGCCAGUCCCUGCCAGUCCGUCCGCCUGUCCGUCCGUGUCCUCAGCUCUGUCCACGCUUCGAUAGACCUGACGCAGCCCCCAGCCCAGGGCCGCCCUAGCAACUUCCUGUACAUAUGACUGUAAAAUGGUAAACGUGUGUAUUAUAUCUGGCCUCGUUAUAUAGUGUAUAUAUAUGUAUACAUAUACAUAUAUAUAAUAUAUAUGAAGACUGUAAAUGUUAAGACGACUAGUGUUCUUAUUAGUAUAUUGCUUCACACUGAAGAUUGUGUGUAUCGAGCUGUUUCUAAAAGAUGUUUAUUUUCCUUAAGAGUAAAAAACAGUCAUUGCAUUCAGAAAAAAAAAAAAAAAGUCAAUAAAGAUACAACGAUUGUUUUGGAAAAU